rnacentral:rRNA from 1 species
UGGACAAUGGACGCAAGUCUGAUCCAGCCAUUCCGCGUGCAGGAUGAAGGCCCUCGGGUUGUAAACUGCUUUUGUACGGAACGAAAAGGUUUCCAUUAAUACUGGGAGCUCAUGACGGUACCGUAAGAAUAAGCACCGGCUAACUACGUGCCAGCAGCCGCGGUAAUACGUAGGGUGCAAGCGUUAAUCGGAAUUACUGGGCGUAAAGCGUGCGCAGGCGGUUAUGUAAGACAGAGGUGAAAUCCCCGGGCUCAACCUGGGAACUGCCUUUGUGACUGCAUAGCUAGAGUACGGUAGAGGGGGAUGGAAUUCCGCGUGUAGCAGUGAAAUGCGUAGAUAUGCGGAGGAACACCGAUGGCGAAGGCAAUCCCCUGGACCUGUACUGACGCUCAUGCACGAAAGCGUGGGGAGCAAACAGGAUUAGAU